CAGCACUUUGUUUCCACAUGAUCUCUUCUCCCUGGGGUGUGAGAUUAGACUGGGAGAAAAACCAGUUACCUCUCAUCUUUCAGCCAGUCAUCAGCACUGAAUCUCUCAGUGCUGCUAUGAGUCAGCUACAGAUUGCAGCAACCUGAAGUCAUAGCCAGGGCACUGCAAGAGGGAAAUGAAAGGAGUGACCCUGAUCAAGUCCCUGUUCCUUCUUUGCCUCUCUCCUGCAUACCCCACCCAAGAGGGGUUUAUGACACUCCACUACUGUUCACAGACACUGGCACUCUGCUCUGGCCAUUGCACACAAGGAGAUCAGGGCCCCUGGCAGCUUGAAGGUAGAAAGUGGACUGAGUUUUUUUUCCCAUGGAAGAUGGCCACGGUUUGUGUCCAGUCCCCUGUGGCCAACAGCUGCAUGAGAUUUCAAGGCCCGGAACUGGGAAGAGCCAGUAGACCUCUGGGUCCAGUCCUGCCAUGGCACUACUUGGAGACUCAGUGUCCUUCGCUACACUGCAGCAAUCAGUACAACUUCUUGGGAUCCUGAAGUACUAUAUAGUGGCUCAGGCAUCCAUCUGGGACAGGGGUACUCAGCUCAUCAUUCUGCAGCACAGCCUGCUCAUUUGGCUGGGAGCAGGGCAGGCUGGCACGUUUGGAAUGAUGCAACUGGCUAUGCUAGAGGGGCAGAAGAGAAAAGCAGAGGACACGUCUGCUGCAGUCAGGCACGACCUUCUGGCAGCCCAGCAAAGUUCCUCAUCAUCUACUAGGAAACACCAAAAAAUGAGACCCAGUUCCCAGAGGAGGAUGGUGUGGACUGUGCACAGCAAACAGCUGUCAAACACAACACUGUCUCCUGUUCAAGAUUCGUCUGCUGAGAAUUUGAUGUCUGCAUGUUUUCUUGGAAUUACUCCAUGAAUAUUUUCUGCAAAAGCAAUUUAUUCAUAAAGCAUUUCAAGUAAUCAAAAA